AAUAAGACAGCACCAGUAAGCAAGGUCUAGUAAGAGGUUCCCUGGACCAUAGACUAAUAUGCCUUGUCGGUGCCUGUGGUGGUAUUAGUAGUCAUUAAAAUAUGUCCUUGUCAUUGGUAAGGGGCAAGACAUACACUAAUAGAGAGGGGCAAAAAGAAAUUUGUCCGAAGUCACAAGCCGAAAUCACUUGCUAGAAAAGUGGCAUGAGAGUGAAAAUCUGGGCUGCAUAUACCAUUGAAGCAGGAGAGGCAUAGUCUAGAGUAAGCAAGUUAUCCUGAUCCAUUCAAGAGGAUACCUGACAAUGUUUCUGAGAACCGAUAGUCACUGAAUAUAUGGAGCAACAGCCUUCUAAACUGGGAACACUCCUAUUGUUGGGUACUAUCAUGACAGAAGCCAGAAUACAGUCCUGUCAACCACCACUCCACCACCCAGCUGAAGGAUGUGUUAUCAUCAUCACACACGAGACCCAAGCCUUGCCUUAUAAUAUACGAGAAUAAGAUUAUGAUGGGGAACUGAGGAAGAGAGACAUUAAGCUCAAACUCACACAGGAGUUGAGUUUGGGGUGGAGCAGGGAAUUAAAUCUGAGUCUCCCAAAUCUCAGACUUGCAGACUAAACACUGGACCAUUCUUCCUCCAGUUAUUCCUUCAAGAACAAGACAGCCAAUACACCCAUCACCUCACCACUACCUCCCUCAAACAGGCUCACAAAAAUUAAAAACCUGAAUUGCAAUGGGACUUCGUAAAUCAAUAAGUCUUGACUGUGAGAAAUGAACUGAAGGCAGCAACACUGGUUUGGAGAAUAAAGCAAGCUAAACAACAGGAAGGGGAAGGGUACAAAAUGUACAGGAGAGGGCUGUUUGGGGUUCUGGGUUUUUUGGAUGCGUGUUAUGAAAGGGAAUCUGGAUUGACCUAGCUAUACGGAGCAGAUGGAAGGCAAGGGAGACUGGCCGUUUUCUAUUUUCACAUGCUAGGAAAUAAAAGGAGACUCGGCUGCAGUCAUUAUAGUACAAAAAGCACAUCUGCAUUCCCAUUCUAAUGGGGCACUCUCCCAAGCUCAGUGAGCUGAAACACUUAUAAAAUGUGUUUACAUCAUGAUGAGGCAUUUUAAAUAGUGAAUUAUAUUCUGUGCUCUCAAGGAGUGGAGGGACUGAAUCAAAAAUACCAAGCUCUGCUUGUUAAACAAUAAAACAAAGCACAUUUUAGUAAACUAUCCUACCUUGAGGGGACAGUCAAUUACAUCUGCUAUCUGUUUUCUUCAGCUACACAUGUGAUUUGACAAACACCAGAAUAUUACCUCUGGAUAAGUUUCAGGAUGAAUGUCUUUUCUUGGCAUAAACCAAAAUGCAUGGCAAAAGUGCUAGAAACCAGAUAUUGGUGUCUGCUUAUAGUCAACCCAUGCAAUUAGUCUUGCACAAAUCACAGUGUCUCAACUGAAGGUUAAUUUACACUGACCUAAUCUGCUUAUUUUUCAAUAAAGUGGUGCUGUAUAACUUCUCAGCAUUAGUGGAUCAGAGGACACUCUUUCUGUUGUGUCUCAUCAGUCAUUCUGUAUCUUGCCAAGUGGAUCCAUUUGUUUCUGGAAAAGACACCAAUAAUGGAUCAUAUAUGUAAGCUGAAAGGGCACAGUCUAUAAUAUUUUCAUUAAACUAUAAAUGUUUUGCAGCACAUUCAUUUGUCGAUUAAAUAUAGACAAGUUAUAGUAAAUAGUCUUUUAAAUAGUGUAGCCUUUACAAAGGUUUUCAUCUUUGACUUUCUAUAGACCUGAUUG